rnacentral:rRNA from 1 species
UACGUAGGUGACAAGCGUUGUCCGGAAUUAUUGGGCGUAAAGAGCGUGUAGGCGGCCAGGUAGGUCUGCUGUGAAAACUCGAGGCUUAACCUCGAGCUGUCGGCGGAAACCAUCUGGCUAGAGUCCGGAAGAGGAGAAUGGAAUUCCCGGUGUAGCGGUGAAAUGCGCAGAUAAUCGGGAAGAACACCCGUGGCGAAGGCGGUUCUCUGGGACGGUACUGACGCUGGAGACGCGAAAGCGUGGGGAGCGAACAGG